rnacentral:rRNA from 1 species
AGACCAGACUCCUACGGGAGGCAGCAGUGGGGAAUAUUGCACAAUGGGGGAAACCCUGAUGCAGCGACGCCGCGUGAGCGAUGAAGUAUUUCGGUAUGUAAAGCUCUAUCAGCAGGGAAGAAAAUGACGGUACCUGACUAAGAAGCCCCGGCUAACUACGUGCCAGCAGCCGCGGUAAUACGUAGGGGGCAAGCGUUAUCCGGAUUUACUGGGUGUAAAGGGAGCGUAGACGGCAGUGCAAGUCCGGAGUGAAAGCCCGGGGCUCAACCCUGGGACUGCUCUGGAAACUGUAAAGCUGGAGUGCGGGAGGGGCAGGCGGAAUUCCUGGUGUAGCGGUGAAAUGCGUAGAUAUCAGGAGGAACACCGGCGGCGAAGGCGGCCUGCUGGACCGCGACUGACGUUGAGGCUCGAAAGCGUGGGGAGCGAACAGGAUUAGAUACCCCGGUAU